AACGAACGCGGGCGGCGUGGAUAAGACAUGCAAGUCGAACGGGGCUUUGUUUGUAGCAAUACAAAUAAAGUUCAGUGGCGAACGGGUGCGUAACACGUGAGCAAUCUGCCGGGAAGUAGGGGAUAGCUCGCCGAAAGGCGAAUUAAUACCGCAUAUGGCUAGGAAGGACAUUCUUCCAAAGCCAAAGCAGAAAUGCGCUUCCUGAUGAGCUCGCGGCCUAUCAGCUAGAUGGCGGGGUAAAAGCCCACCAUGGCUAUGACGGGUAGCUGGUCUGAGAGGACGACCAGCCACACUGGAACUGAGACACGGUCCAGACACCUACGGGUGGCAGCAGUCGAGAAUUUUUCACAAUGGGGGAAACCCUGAUGGAGCGACGCCGCGUGGAGGACGAAGGCCCUCGGGUCGUAAACUCCUGUCAUGCGGGAACAAGAAAGUGAUAGUACCGCAAGAGGAAGAGACGGCUAACUCUGUGCCAGCAGCCGCAGUAAAAC
rnacentral:rRNA from 1 species